GAUGAACGCUGACAGAAUGCUUAACACAUGCAAGUCAUUGGCGAAGCUGCGCUUGCGCAGUCUAGCCAAGGCGGACGGGUGAGUAACGCGUAAGGAACUUGCCCUGCAGACAGGGAUAACAGACGGAAACGACUGAUAACACCUGGUAUUGUCAGGCUGGCGCAUGCCGGCCUGAUGAAAGGAGACGCUGCAGGAGAGCCUUGCGUCCUAUUAGCUAGUUGGUGGGGUAACGGCCCACCAAGGCGAUGAUAGGUAGCCGGCCUGAGAGGGUGAACGGCCACAAGGGGACUGAGAUACGGCCCUUACUCCUACGGGAGGCAGCAGUGGGGAAUAUUGGACAAUGGGGGCAACCCUGAUCCAGCAAUUCUGUGUGCACGAAGAAGGUUUUAGGACUGUAAAGUGCUUUCAGCAGGGAAGAAGAAAGUGACGGUACCUGCAGAAGAAGCGACGGCUAAAUACGUG
rnacentral:rRNA from 1 species